UACGUAGGGGGCAAGCGUUGUCCGGAUUUAUUGGGCGUAAAGAGCGUGUAGGCGGUUAGGUAGGUCCGUUGUGAAAACUCGAGGCUCAACCUCGAGACGCCGAUGGAAACCAUCUGACUAGAGUCCGGAAGAGGAGAGUGGAAUUCCUGGUGUAGCGGUGAAAUUCGCAGAUAUCGGGAAGAACACCCGUGGCGAAGGCGGCUCUCUGGGACGGUACUGACGCUGAGACGCGAAAGCGUGGGGAGCGAACAGG
rnacentral:rRNA from 1 species